UUGGGGUGACGGCGUGCCUUUUGAAGAAUGAGCCUGCGAGUUAGUGUCAUGUCGCGAGGUAACCCGUGUGGGGUAGUCGUAGCGAAAGCGAGUCUGAAUAGGGCGUUGAGUGGCGUGAUCUAGACCCGAAGCGAAGUGAUCUACCCAUGGCCAGGUUGAAGCGCGUGUAAGAGCGCGUGGAGGACCGAACCCACUUCAGUUGAAAAUGGAGGGGAUGAGCUGUGGGUAGGGGUGAAAGGCCAAUCAAACUCCGUGAUAGCUGGUUCUCCCCGAAAUGCAUUUAGGUGCAGCGUCGCGUGUUUCAUCCUGGAGGUAGAGCUACUGGAUGGUCUAGAGGGCCCACAAGCUUAUCGAAAUCAGCCAAACUCCGAAUGCCAGGAUGUGAGAGCGCGGCAGUGAGACUGCGGGCGAUAAGGUUCGUAGUCGAGAGGGAAACAGCCCAGAUCGCCGGCUAAGGCCCCCAAGCGUGUACUAAGUGG
rnacentral:rRNA from 14 species